rnacentral:tRNA from 1 species
AGCUCUCUAGCUUAAAGGUAAAGCGGCUGGACUCAUAAUCUGGAAAAUUGAGGUUCGAUACCUCUGGGAGCUACCA